GAUUCUGGCUCAGGAUGAACGCUAGCGGCAGGCUUAACACAUGCAAGUCGAGGGGCAACGCGAGUAGCAAUACUUGGCGGCGACCGGCGCAAGGGUGCGUAACGCGUGAGCAACAUGCCCGUAUCAGGGGGAUAAUCCAGGGAAACUUGGUCUAAUACCCCAUAGUAAUUUUGUAAGGCAUCUUAUAAGAUUUAAAGCUUUGGUGGAUACGGAUUGGCUCGCGUGACAUUAGCUGGAUGGUAAGGUAACGGCUUACCAUGGCCAUGAUGUCUAGGGGUUCUGAGAGGAAGGUCCCCCACACUGGAACUGAGACACGGUCCAGACUCCUACGGGAGGCAGCAGUGAGGAAUAUUGGACAAUGGAUGGAAAUCUGAUCCAGCCAUGCCGCGUGAAAAGGAAGAAGGUCCUAUGGAUUGUAAACUUCUUUUGUAUGGGAGCAAUAAGGCCUACGAGUAGGUUGAUGAGAGUACCAUACGAAUAAGCACCGGCUAACUCCGUGCCAGCCGCCGC
rnacentral:rRNA from 1 species